GGGGUGUGAGCCGUAACAUACUGGCUUUACGAAUAAAAAUCGCAAGCUGGCAGUUGGCUUUUAACCAAUUGGUCGCUGGUUCGAGCCCAGCACGGCCCA
rnacentral:tRNA from 1 species